rnacentral:rRNA from 1 species
GACGAACGCUGGCGGCGUGCUUAACACAUGCAAGUCGAACGGAAAGGCCCUGCUUUUGUGGGGUGCUCGAGUGGCGAACGGGUGAGUAACACGUGAGUAACCUGCCCUUGACUUUGGGAUAACUUCAGGAAACUGGGGCUAAUACCGGAUAGGAGCUCCUGCUGCAUGGUGGGGGUUGGAAAGUUUCGGCGGUUGGGGAUGGACUCGCGGCUUAUCAGCUUGUUGGUGGGGUAGUGGCUUACCAAGGCUUUGACGGGUAGCCGGCCUGAGAGGGUGACCGGCCACAUGGGGACUGAGAUACGGCCCAGACUCCUACGGGAGGCAGCAGUGGGGAAUAUUGCAGAACGGGCGGAAGCCUGAUGCAGAAACGCCGCGUGCGGGAUGACGGCCUUCGGGUUGUAAACCGCUUUCGCCUGUGACGAAGCGUGAGUGACGGUAAUGGGUAAAGAAGCACCGGCUAACUACGCG